rnacentral:tRNA from 1 species
GGGCGGUUAGCUCAGUGGUAGAGCACUACCUUGACAUGGUAGGGGUCACAGGUUCAAUCCCUGUACCGCCCACCA